GACGAACGCUGGCGGCGUGCCUAAUACAUGCAAGUCGAGCGAGCUUGCCUAGAUGAAUUUGGUGCUUGCACCAAAUGAAACUAGAUACAAGCGAGCGGCGGACGGGUGAGUAACACGUGGGUAACCUGCCCAAGAGACUGGGAUAACACCUGGAAACAGAUGCUAAUACCGGAUAACAACACUAGACGCAUGUCUAGAGUUUAAAAGAUGGUUCUGCUAUCACUCUUGGAUGGACCUGCGGUGCAUUAGCUAGUUGGUAAGGUAACGGCUUACCAAGGCAAUGAUGCAUAGCCGAGUUGAGAGACUGAUCGGCCACAUUGGGACUGAGACACGGCCCAAACUCCUACGGGAGGCAGCAGUAGGGAAUCUUCCACAAUGGACGCAAGUCUGAUGGAGCAACGCCGCGUGAGUGAAGAAGGGUUUCGGCUCGUAAAGCUCUGUUGGUAGUGAAGAAAGAUAGAGGUAGUAACUG
rnacentral:rRNA from 1 species